rnacentral:rRNA from 1 species
GACAGAGGGUGCGAGCGUUGUUCGGAAUUACUGGGCGUAAAGCGCAUGUAGGCGGCCGCGCAAGUCGGGCGUGAAAUCCCACGGCUCAACCGUGGAAGUGCACUCGAAACUGCGCAGCUAGAGUCCUGGAGAGGAAGGUGGAAUGCUUGGUGUAGAGGUGAAAUUCGUAGAUAUCAAGCGGAACACCGGUGGCGAAGGCGGCCUUCUGGACAGUGACUGACGCUGAGAUGCGAAAGCGUGGGGAGCAAACAGG